rnacentral:rRNA from 1 species
GACGAACGCUGGCGGCGUGCUUAACACAUGCAAGUCGAACGGAAAGGCCCCUUUGGGGGUCCUCGAGUGGCGAACGGGUGAGUAACACGUGAGUAACCUGCCCUUGACUUCGGGAUAACUUCAGGAAACUGGGGCUAAUACCGGAUAGGAAUCCUUGCUGCAUGGUGGGGGUUGGAAAGCUUCGGCGGUUUUGGAUGGACUCGCGGCUUAUCGGCUUGUUGGUGGGGUAGUGGCUUACCAAGGCUUUGACGGGUAGCCGGCCUGAGAGGGCGACCGGCCACAUUGGGACUGAGAUACGGCCCAGACUCCUACGGGAGGCAGCAGUGGGGAAUAUUGCACAAGGGGCGGAAGCCUGAUGCAGCAACGCCGCGUGCGGGAUGACGGCCUUCGGGUUGUAAACCGCGUUCAGCAGGGGCGAAGCUUGUGGUGACGGUACCUGCAGAAGAAGCACCGGCUAACUACGUG